GAUUUCCCGUAAAGUGUUCGUCUAAUACUUACAUAUAGUAUAAUACUAUAUAGGUAUAGUAGAUAUAGGCCACAUGGUAUGAAUACCCUUUUACAACAAAAGUCGACAACAGGGAAUACGAGGAGGGUCGUGUAGACUCGCGUGUGACGAUUACACGCACGUUGUAUUAUUAGGUAUUUAUUAUAAUCGUCAAUUAUUAACACAAUGCGUGGGUAGUUAUUACUUAUUAUUGUCAUCGUUACGGUGUAACGCGGACAUUUUAAUUUUUUUUUUUUUUACUUGACGUUUUAAAGGGAUUUGAAAUAUUUGGCAUCGGUGAUUUCUGUCUUGAUUUAACGCAACACAAGAAUUAUUUAAUAUUUAUGUGUUUGUUAUGAUAUUAUUUCCGAGUGAAUAAUCGGCAUUCAAUGGAACAAAAAUAUGAUUACCAUGGAUGCAAGUACCUACCUGAAGAAAAGUGAUAUUUACCACGAUCAUUUAUUUGGUACCUUUUUGUGUAUGCGGUUUUCAAACAUGUAGGACGUAGGUACACUGCGUAAUGCAUAAACCGUAUUUAUAGUUUCAGAUAAUAUAUAUUAAUAAAUAAUAGUGCUUAUGUUAACAGAGGGAGCACAGCAGGUGAAACCAGGUCACGGUGAGUUAUUUUUAUUUAGCUAAUU